GCAUAUCAAUAAGCGGAGGAAAAGAAACCAACAGGGAUUGCCUCAGUAACGGCGAGUGAAGCGGCAACAGCUCAAAUUUGAAAUCUGGCCUCUUUGGGGUCCGAGUUGUAAUUUGUAGAGGAUGUUUCGGGUACCGCCUCGGUCUAAAUUUCUUGGAACAGAAUGUCAAAGAGGGUGAGAAUCCCGUCUUGGAUCGGCGGUAGGGCCCAUGUGAAACUCCUUCGACGAGUCGAGUUGUUUGGGAAUGCAGCUCAAAAUGGGUGGUAUAUUUCAUCUAAAGCUAAAUAUUGGCCAGAGACCGAUAGCGCACAAGUAGAGUGAUCGAAAGAUGAAAAGCACUUUGAAAAGAGAGUUAAACAGUAUGUGAAAUUGUUGAAAGGGAAGCGCUUGCAACCAGACUUGCGCGCGGCGGUUCCCCCUUCCUUUUGGCUGGGUUAUUCCGCCGUGUCCAGGCCAACAUCGGUUCUGGGGGUCGGUUAAAGGCUCUGGGAAUGUAUCUACCCUUCGGGCGUAGACUUAUAGCCCAGGGUGUCAUGCGGCCUCCCGGGACCGAGGAACGCGCUUCGGCUCGGAUGUUGGCGUAAUGGUUGUCAGCGACCCGUCUUGAAACACGGACC
rnacentral:rRNA from 1 species